ensembl:lncRNA
GAGAAAUAUGUAGAAAGUCUGUAAUGCUCUAUGACAAUAGCUUCCGAGUAUGCUGACCUUUGGUAAAUGAAACAAACGGAAAGUACAGUACUCUUACGAUGAGGCAUUAAUGGAAGAUUAAGAACGGAUACAGCUGCAUCACACGAGCGCUUUGUUAGAUGCACUAUUUUCCUUCUGUGCCUUUUCCAUAAUUCCAGAAGAAGCACUCUGCAAGGCAGUCAACGAGCAUAUGCUGUACAUGUUUCUAUGUUUCCUCAGCUGGGACUGAGGGAGAAGUCAGGAUGGCAAGGGGUCCUGCCCACCUCUGCAGGUAGGACACCAGAAAGACAUCCCGCAUGGCUGCCAUGCGCUGAGGUAGGGUACACAGGAGACAUGAAUACAAAACCUAGGGGAAAAAAAAACAAACAAGUGAAUGGAAAGGACAUGAACACUCAUGCAACUACUGCGUCACCGGGGCUGUGAUGCUGCUUUUAGCAGCUGCAGACAGCAGGGCUCGUGGAGGGGUUUGUUGGCUGUACCACAGCCUUACUAUGUGCAAAGCAAUCUUGUAAUGUACAGCUGACCCCACCCGUUUCAGAAGAUUCCAGCUGUUUGAAGCAGUCCUCAAAUCCUCACUGGGUUAUUUCAGUGAUCUUCCUUGGAGCUAACCCGAGCUAGCAACAGUGUUGGCACAGGUACACGUGACUGCAGCAGAGAUGGUAACAAAAAGUGCUUAUGGACAGAGAGAGAAGGCUGGACCAUGAGUUCUCCUCUGUGUACUUUGGUGUGAGUUCUGGCAGUAUAGCAGCAAGUAUGGCACUGGACAAGCGUCAAGGAAGGGACACAGGAAUUCUCAACUCUGUUGUUCCGUAAGUAUGAAGGCUGCUCUGAAAAUAUUGUCUUCUGUUUUAUUAUUUUGCCCCAUGACAUCAGAGGUGGCAUGCCUGUAGAGGUUGAACCUUCCCCCCAAUAUGCUGUUACAUGUUGUUGCUUUGUGAUAGAUGGCAACAGAGGGGCAGUGCGACACAACGAUGUCUGACAUGGAAGUGCGUACGAAGUAAAGUAGACAGUGUUUCCCAGAGAAGUCUGAUAUCGAUAACACUUAAGAAGCUUUGAAAGUUUGGAUAUAAUUCAGGGAUCAUGGACGGUAUCAACAGCCAGACUUGUUAUAAGCUUGCAGAGCAAGUGGAGAUGGUGAAUCAAAAUCUCUUACAUAUUCAAAGGCGUGCUCAUCAGAGAGUUGGAUCAAAGCAUUUUGAUUCCUCAUCUUUCAGAAGAAGAGUAGACACGAGGUGAUGGGAGGCAUUCUUAGACGCAGCUCCGGAGUCCUUCGCAAUUUGCCUGUGAGAACACAGCCUGUUCUGGGCCCAACCUUGAGAGAGAAAGUGUUUGUGAAAUGGGUGGAUUUCUAGAAGUACCUCAGAUCCUGCCAUUACAACAUUUUAGGUGUCAAAGGCAAGGAUGGAUAAAUGUGAAGAAGCUUUGAAAAGCGCCAUUUCAGACGCUGAAGAUGCAAUGCCCUAUUGAGUGAAUAAUCCACUCAAGAAAUGUGGAAGGUAUUUUGUCAACAGCUGGAGUUGAUUCAACAUGGGUUUAACAGGGAGUAGAGGUCAGCAAAUGCUAACUAUGUUUAAGUGGGGAUGUGAAAAUGAGUAUAAUUAAUCUUUUUUUUUUUUAAUAUAAAUCACCUGGUUAAAGCAAGAGAAUUGGAGGGUAAUUUUGCAAGAUCAGAAGCUAAGCUAAGUGAAAAUUA